GCGACACAGUUCAGCAAUAACAGCAUCACAGUUGCCUAGCAACUCUACGUCGAAGUUAAAAUGGUGCAAGGGCUCGCGGUUUAUUAGUAUCUGUGGCACAUCAGGCUUGAGGUAAUCUACAAAGUGGAGUUUAUAUGAUGCCAUUAAGAGUUAUAAAACUAAAGAAAAUCAAAACUGUUUAAACAGUAAGACAAAAAUUUCAAAAUUCAAGCACAGUUAUAUGUGACAUUCGCACAGAAGUCAGUCCCCAGACUUUUUUGUUUCUCAGAAUGCUUUGUUUUCAAAAUGCUGUGUCUUACAAUACUUUGCAAUCCUGUAUAGGUUGAUGCAGCCAUGUUGGUAAUGGGCUUUCUCAGCCCGAGAGUACCUCUCUCGACUGGAAUAAACUACAUGUUUCAAUUAAUCAUUUAGAAUUUUGAGAAAUUUGCAAACUUAUCUGCACAUGAUAAACAGAUAAAACAAUUAAGCAGACAAAAACAAAAUUGCCUUAUUUGCAAUUUACAGUUUUGAUUUUAGAUAUGCAUUUCUUUAUUCAAUUUAGAUUUUACCCUUGAUGAUGAAACAGCCUCAAAAGAGGUUACCUGGAAUCAAAGCCACUGGCCUGACCUUGAGUGAAGAGCCAAUGACAAUAAGAAGGUCAGCCUGGAGUUGAAUAAAGUGAUGUUUGUUAGAUGUUGCAUAGACAAGCACAUUUGGGGUACCUGAUCAAAAGGCAACAUGAAAGAAGGCCGAGAUGGCUAAAAAACACUAGAUGCAGUGUAAACACAAGCUAACACAGAGGAUCAAAAUAUUUGCCCUCUGGCAAAAUGAUGUAAUAUCAAUGAAUACACACCCCAGCUCCA